ACUUUGAAGAGAGAGUUCAAAAGGGCGUGAAACCGCUUAGAAUAAAACGGACGGAGCCGUCGGUGGCCUUCCGGAAUCAGUCGUACGACGCGCGAUGGCGCGUUUUGUCGGAGCGAAAGUCCGGCGGGCGCGUUGGGAGAUAGUAGCGUUCGUUCGAUGCAUUUCCGGAGGGUAUGCGCCGCGACCGAUGCGAGUGCUAGCGAAUCCGGCGAUCUGAGGUGGAAACCCCUCACGGGGUCUUCAUUACCAGUUCGUCGGCUUGUAAUCGCUAGACGUAAGCAUCGAGCGCGUAAUAUAACAGACACUGGCUAAAGUGCUCGCUCAAGCGGUGGAUAGUCGGCGGAAUUUGCCGUACCUGCUCGCAGGUUAUGCGAAUUACCGUUCGGCGUUUGAAACCGCGGGCGAGUUGGUGUCCUGGCGUCAGCGGCGUCCGAGACGGUCAACCGUCCGACCCGUCUUGAAACACGGACCAAGGAGUCUAACGUACGCGCGAGCUAAUGAGUGGAAAACUCAUAAGCGCAAUAAAAGUAAAAGGUACGAUCCCGGGGUAUUUACUUAUCCAGGGCGCAGUACCGUCCCAUCCUGAUCGCUUGUCGGUAGGGUGGAGAUUGAGUGCCUACGUUGGGACCCGAAAGAUGGUGAACUAUGCCUGAGCAGAGCGAAGCCAGAGGAAACUCUGGUGGAGGUUCGUAGCGGUUCUGACGUGCAAAUCGAUCGUCAGACU
rnacentral:rRNA from 1 species